AAACAAGAUAUGUAUUGGUAUUUGAUAGAGAAACGAAAGAGGGAAGGAAGAGUUUGCAACUGCAACACUCCACCCACCGAUCUUGCCGAAGAACGAUCAAGCAUCAAACUUCCCUUUGCUUGGACAGGAAGUUUCAUUAUCAACUAAUCCUCAUGCAGUGGAAUCUUCUAUAGUAAAUGAGAAUGAUCAGAGUUUUCCUGAGUGUAGCAUUGGAUCUGAACAAAUUUCAGAAAGCCAACGAAGAGAGAGAGAGAGAAUGCAAGGUGUAAGCACGAGAGAGAGAGAGAGAGAGAGAGAGAGAGAGAGAGAGAGCUAGGUGUAGAGUUGCAGGUUUUAUAGUAGAGGAUGGCACAACGUUUUUAUCUUCCAAAUAACUCUCUCUUUCUUUCUCUCUUCUCGCAAGUUACAGGAGUUGGAUUUGAUUAUUUUUAUCUUUAUUUUUUAUAAAAAAAAUAGUUUUUUUUAAUUUAUUAUUAUUAAUUAUUUUACCCCUAAUAGGUCACUUUUACCUCUACAUUUCAUAAAAUGAACU